GAGGACCGUAUUCAUGGAAGAGGAUCGAACAGACUACUGAGUUCUUAUGAGAAAAAUGGCUCUUAAGAAAUUGAAGGUGAUACCAAAGGAAAGUUACUUAUUACUUUUGGACUUUGAUGAUGAGGACGAUGAUAUAAAAGUUUCAGAGGAGGCUCUUUCGGAAGUAAAGAGCCCAGCAUUUGAUAAAAAUGAGAAUAUAUCGCCUCAAGCAGAAGCAGAUGAAGAUAUGGGAGAUGAAGUAGACAGUAUGUUGGAUAAAUCUGAAGUAAACAACCCAGCAAUUGGUAAAGAUGAAAAUAUAUCGCCUCAAGUAAAAGGACAUGAAGACAGGGGACAUGAAAUAGGCAGUAUGUUGGAUAAAUCUGGAGGUCUCUGCUAAGAAAAACUGAGAACUUCACUAUGACAUUUAUAAGACGCUUCACAUAAAGAGAAAAUGGAUGGAAACUUAUGUCAAAGAAUCUUUCAAAGGCAGGAACCAGAAAUUAGAAAGAUUUUGCAAAAUGAACGAACGAGAGAGGAAGAACAUCAACAACAAAUUUUGUGAGCAGUAUAUAACUACAUUUCAGAAGUCUUAUAUGGAUGUACAGAAAUUCAAUGAGGAAAAAGAAAAAUCAGUGAAUAGUUGUCAAAAAGAACAACAAGCAUUGAAACUGUCCAAAUGUAGUCAGAACCAGACCCUGGAAGCAGGUAAAGAAAUGCAUGAGAAGUCCAUGGAGCUGCAUCAUUGGACUCAAACUGAAUGGUCCAUGUGUUGCCACUGAUGUGAGCCAUU
rnacentral:lncRNA from 1 species